rnacentral:rRNA from 1 species
UACGUAGGGUGCAAGCGUUGUCCGGAAUUAUUGGGCGUAAAGAGCUCGUAGGCGGUCUGUCGCGUCGGCUGUGAAAACUCGGGGCUCAACCCCGAGCCUGCAGUCGAUACGGGCAGACUAGAGUGCUGUAGGGGAGACUGGAAUUCCUGGUGUAGCGGUGAAAUGCGCAGAUAUCAGGAAGAACACCUAUGGCGAAGGCAGCUCUCUGGGACGGUACUGACGCUGAGACGCGAAAGCGUGGGGAGCGAACAGG